rnacentral:rRNA from 1 species
CAGUCACGGGAAAACGGAGGGUGCAAGCGUUAAUCGGAAUUACUGGGCGUAAAGCGUGCGUAGGUGGUGGUUUAAGUCCGUUGUGAAAGCCCUGGGCUCAACCUGGGAAUUGCAGUGGAUACUGGGUCACUAGAGUGUGGUAGAGGAUAGUGGAAUUUCCGGUGUAGCAGUGAAAUGCGUAGAGAUCGGAAGGAACAUCUGUGGCGAAGGCGACUAUCUGGGCCAACACUGACACUGAGGCACGAAAGCGUGGGGAGCAAACAGGAUUAGAUACCCCCGUAGUCCCUGUCUCUUAUACACA